rnacentral:rRNA from 1 species
CAAUAGCGUAUAUUUAAGUUGUUGCAGUUAAAAAGCUCGUAGUUGGAUUUCGGAUGGGAUUUGCCGGUCCGUCGUUACGAUGUGCACUGGCCAGUCCUAUCUUGUUGUCGGGGACUAGCUCCUUGGAUUCACUUCCUGGGACUAGGAGCUGACGAGGUUACUUUGAGUAAAUUAGAGUGUUCAAAGCAAGCCUACGCUCUGAAUACAUUAGUAUGGAAUAACACGAUAGGACUCUGGCUUAUCUUGUUGGUCUGUGAGACCAGAGUAAUGAUUAAGAGGGACAGUCGGGGACAUUCGUAUUUCAUUGUCAGAGGUGAAAUUCUUGGAUUUAUGAAAGACGAACUUCUGCGAAAGCAUUUGUCAAGGAUGUUUUCAUUAA